rnacentral:rRNA from 1 species
AUUGAACGCUGGCGGCAUGCCUUACACAUGCAAGUCGAACGGUAACAGGUUAAGCUGACGAGUGGCGAACGGGUGAGUAAUAUAUCGGAACGUGCCCAGUCGUGGGGGAUAACGUAGCGGAAGCUACGCUAAUACCGCAUACGAUCUACGGAUGAAAGCGGGGGAUCGCAAGACCUCGCGCGAUUGGAGCGGCCGAUAUCAGAUUAGGUUGUUGGUGAGGUAAAAGCUCACCAAGCCUGCGAUCUGUAGCUGGUCUGAGAGGACGACCAGCCACACGGGAACUGAGACACGGUCCAGACUCCUACGGGAGGCAGCAGUGGGGAAUUUUGGACAAUGGACGCAAGUCUGAUCCAGCAAUGCCGCGUGCAGGACGAAGGCCUUCGGGUUGUAAACUGCUUUUGUACGGAACGAAACGGUGAGCUCUAAUACAGUUUGCUAAUGACGGUACCGUAAGAAUAAGCACCGGCUAACUACGUGCCAGCCGCCGCGGUAA